rnacentral:rRNA from 1 species
AUUGAACGCUGGCGGCAGGCCUAACACAUGCAAGUCGAGCGGAUGAAGGGAGCUUGCUCCUGGAUUCAGCGGCGGACGGGUGAGUAAUGCCUAGGAAUCUGCCUGGUAGUGGGGGAUAACGUCCGGAAACGGGCGCUAAUACCGCAUACGUCCUGAGGGAGAAAGUGGGGGAUCUGCGGACCUCACGCUAUCAGAUGAGCCUAGGUCGGAUUAGCUAGUUGUUGGGGUAAAGGCCUACCAAGGCGACGACCCGUAACUGGUCUGAGAGGAUGAUCAGUCACACUGGAACUGAGACACGGUCCAGACUCCUACGGGAGGCAGCAGUGGGGAAUAUUGGACAAUGGGCGAAAGCCUGAUCCAGCCAUGCCGCGUGUGUGAAGAAGGUCUUCGGAUUGUAGAGCACUUUAAGUUGGGAGGAAGGGCAGUAAGUUAAUACCUUGCUGUUUUGACGUUACCAACAGAAUAAGCACCGGCUAACUUCGUG